rnacentral:lncRNA from 1 species
UUUAAAUCAUGUUCUCUCUUCGGAUCUCAGUUUGCGACUCGAUGGGGUUUAAAGAUUGUUGGUGCUCCUCUAAUCGGUGGUGUGAGGCCUGUGGAGCCGGUAAUGGGACAUCACAACUACACUAACUACCCCAUGGUCUACGGUCAUUUCUGUUUCACCAGCAGAUCUGGGUUUGUGUUAAUAAAAAAGAAAGGGUUGUCCUCUUCUGGAUGACUACAGUCAGGAUCUCCAGAUAUCUCAUCCCAAUUGUCAGGAGAUGCUAUUUGUUUCCUAAUCUGUAUGAUACCCAAACCCCCACACCUUUUCCUCCCAUCCCCUGACCCCCAUUAAGUAACUUAUAAACAGCAUUAAUUAUAUCCCUAAUAGUCCCUUGCGUCAUUCUAUAGAGCAAUGCACGCAGGGUGCAGCCCUACAUAUGCGGGGCAGCGCCUUCAUUACUGCAUUGUGUCCAACAGGUGGCAGCAGAGAGCUGCAGCGCUCCCGAGUGCUGUAAGGACUGCACGGAGAGAUGUGCGGGUCUUCACGGGAACAGCCAGGAACCGAAAGCUGCAUUUCCCGGGAUGCCCUGGAGCUCCACUUUGCUGACUGGUAAUUGUCUGCCCAGCAGGUAAGGACAAUGCACACCCACCAGUGUUUACCGCUUACUCAGUGAGACACAAGGUGGAGUUCCCAGAGCUCCUUUCUGCACUUCAGGGUGCCCCGAAGGCUGCCCGUCCUAUUCUUUGCACGUUCUCCUUGGCUCUGGCCUUUCACCGUGGUGUUCUCCUUCCUUUUCCUUCCCUUUUCCCUUGGCGUUCCCUACUGCAUUCUCUUGCCCUCGUGUUUUUGCAUUCCAUGUCAUGUUCUCUUGGCCAUUGCCCUUGACUUUCUUGGCCACAUUCACUUCAACAUUCAGUUUUGGCGUUCCCUGCAGUGCUCUCUUGCCCUUCUGUUUUGGCGUUUCUUGUCGUGUUCUCUUGGCCAUUUCCUUGGCAUUUCCUUCCACAUUCUCUUGGCCCUUACCUAGGCGUUCCCUUGCCCUCCUGUUCUUGCGUUCCAUGCCACAUUCUCUUGGCUAUUGAACUUGUUUUUCUUCUGCCACGUUCUCUUCAGCAUUCAGUUUUGGCGUUCCCUGCAGUGUUCUCUUGCCCUCCUGUUUGGGCAUUUCCUGCGGCGUUCUCUUUGGCAUCAUGUUCUGCUGUUCCCAGCCACCUUCUCUCAGCCUUCUGCCUUGGCCUUCUUUGCC